CAGCCGCCGCGGUAAUACGUAGGGUGCAAGCGUUAAUCGGAAUUACUGGGCGUAAAGCGUGCGCAGGCGGUUGUGCAAGACCGAUGUGAAAUCCCCGGGCUUAACCUGGGAAUGGCAUUGGUGACUGCACGGCUAGAGUGUGUCAGAGGGGGGUAGAAUUCCACGUGUAGCAGUGAAAUGCGUAGAGAUGUGGAGGAAUACCGAUGGCGAAGGCAGCCCCCUGGGAUAACACUGACGCUCAUGCACGAAAGCGUGGGGAGCAAACAGG
rnacentral:rRNA from 1 species